rnacentral:rRNA from 1 species
CGGACGGGUGAGUAACACGUAGGUAACCUGCCCAGAAGCGGGGGACAACAUUUGGAAACAGAUGCUAAUACCGCAUAACARCGUUGUUCGCAUGAACAACGCUCAAAAGAUGGCUUCUCGCUAUCACUUCUGGAUGGACCUGCGGUGCAUUAGCUUGUUGGUGGGGUAAYGGCCUACCAAGGCGAUGAUGCAUAGCCGAGUUGAGAGACUGAUCGGCCACAAUGGGACUGAGACACGGCCCAUACUCCUACGGGAGGCAGCAGUAGGGAAUCUUCCACAAUGGGCGCAAGCCUGAUGGAGCAACACCGCGUGAGUGAAGAAGGGUUUCGGCUCGUAAAGCUCUGUUGUUAAAGAAGAACACGUAUGAGAGUAACUGUUCAUACGUUGACGGUAUUUAACCAGAAAGUCACGGCUAACUACGUGCCAGCAGCCGCGGUAAUACGUAGGUGGCAAGCGUUAUCCGGAUUUAUUGGGCGUAAAGAGAGUGCAGGCGGUUUUCUAAGUCUGAUGUGAAAGCCUUCGGCUUAACCGGAGAAGUGCAUCGGAAACUGGAUAACUUGAGUGCAGAAGAGGGUAGUGGAACUCCAUGUGUAGCGGUGGAAUGCGUAGAUAUAUGGAAGAACACCAGUGGCGAAGGCGGCUACCUGGUCUGCAACUGACGCUGAGACUCGAAAGCAUGGGUAGCGAACAGGAUUAGAUACCCUGGUAGUCCAUGCCGUAAACGAUGAGUGCUAGGUGUUGGAGGGUUUCCGCCCUUCAGUGCCGGAGCUAACGCAUUAAGCACUCCGCC